rnacentral:rRNA from 1 species
AUGGUAGGAUAGAGGCCUACCAUGGUGGUAACGGGUAACGGGGUGUUAGGGCACGACACCGGAGAGGGAGCCUGAGAAACGGCUACCACAUCCAAGGAUGGCAGCAGGCGCGCAAAUUACCCAAUCCCGACACGGGGAGGUAGUGACAAUAAAUAACAAUGCGGGGUUCUUUAGGAUCUCGUAAUUGGAAUGAGUACAAUUUAAAUCUCUUAACGAGGAACAAUUGGAGGGCAAGUCUGGUGCCAGCAGCCGCGGUAAUUCCAGCUCCAAUAGCGUAUAUUAAAGUUGUUGCAGUUAAAAAGCUCGUAGUUGAAUUUCGGGGUCAGUAGGUCGGUCGUGCCACUGGUAUGAACUGGUUUUACUGAUUCCUCCCUCUUGAAGAACUGUAAUGCCAUUAAUUUGGUGUUGCAGGGAAUCAGGACUGUUACUUUGAAAAAAUUAGAGUGUUUAAAGCAGGCUUUAGCUUGAAUACAUUAGCAUGGAAUAAUGAAAUAGGACGUUUGAUCCUAUUUUGUUGGUUUCUAGGAUUGACGUAAUGAUUAAUAGGGAUAGUUGGGGGCAUUAGUAUUCAAUUGUCAGAGGUGAAAUUCUUGGAUUUAUUGAAGACUAACUACUGCGAAAGCAUUUGCCAAGGAUGUUUUCAUUAAUCAAGAACGAAAGUUAGGGGAUCGAAGACGAUCAGAUACCGUCGUAGUCUUAACCAUAAACUAUGCCGACUAGGGAUCGGAUGAUGUUAAUUUUUUAAUGACUCAUUCGGCGCCUUACGGGAAACCAAAGUGUUUGGG